GAAUUUAGAAAUCAAGAAAAAUCUAGCCCUGUAAUUAAAAUGUGAAAACAAAAGCUAUUUGUAGAGAAAAACAUCCCAUUAAUGUGAUUUCCUAGUGACAGAUUGACAAGUUCAAAGCAGUAAUGCAUGUUGCCAUGGGCACCAGAUUCUGUUUGCUCGGCUGGCUCAUUUUACUUAGCUGCUGAAGAAGGAGAGUCGCAUUCAGCCAGGGAUCACUGAGCAUUCAAAAGUCCAUCUGAGACCUGCUUUCAUUGCACUGCCUCGUGAGGAGCUGUAGGAGAAGAUAUCAUAACUAUUCCCCACUUCUAAUUGUUAGAAGCAACAGCUGUCUAUCAAGAACAAUCUGAGGAUUGUGCACAAAUUGAUUUGGUUCUAUCAAGUGCUGGCUUUCGAUUCCAGUCUGACUUCACUACCACAGGAGCUUCUUGCUCAGGCUUCUGUUCCGGCUCCAUUCUCUCCCUGCCAUUAUAAUGCCAUCCACUGCAGCACCAUCUCUUCAAUCACUCUUCAGAAAUGCAAAUUGCUGCCUUCAGAAGGAAGCACACGGGCCUAUGAAUUUUAUAUCAGCAGGGAUUACCAAUGAGUCAUGCUUGAUGUUGUAAAAACUAUUCAGGAACCAAGAAAAGGGGCAGAAUAAGUGAGAGAAUGAACGAGAAUGAAAAAAAGAAUAGAACCAGUCGGCCAGUGACAUUUUCUAGUGAAACACAUAUGGGAUGCAAGAAAAGGACUCAGAAAAGCCUUGGGAGUAAAUAUUGAAAUGAUCUUGAAUGAUUUGGCAGGAGAAGAUGUGUCAGCAGGGCUUACCGUAUAGCUCCGAAGGAUGGUGAUGACGACACCACAGACCAAGAUAGUUUACAAAGGCUUAAUGGAGCUCAGAUAUUUGAGAAAAAAAAAAAAAAGAUUAACCAUAUUCAGCUGAGAAAAGGGAACACAAACACAUCUGGGGAAAGUAAUCUUAAAUAAAGAUACUCAGAUGGAGAAAAACAUGUGUCAAGCCUGGACCUGGAGUAAAAGCAGACAGAAAAAAUUUGAGUUGCAAGGGAUUACAACAGCUCAGAAAGGAAAACAUUCAUGAUCUCAUUCCACCUGAAGCCAGUGCCUCUGUAAUGUGUAGCAGAAUCCUAUGGAGAAGUUGUAAAAACACAAAAUGUUGGCCCCACCCCAAGAGUUUCUGAUUUUGCAGGUCUGGAGAGGGCCUGUGAUACGUACUUCUAACAAGCUCCCAGGCGAUGCUAAUGUUGCUGGUCUAGAAACACACUUUGAGAGCCACUGUUUUACAAUGUAUUCACCCAGCUUAUGCAAUCAACUACUAUCACAGCAAAGUCCAAAGAAUGCUCCUUAUUUGUUUGUUAUACUGGAGUUUGGCUUGGCUAAAUAUUAUUUGAAACUGAAUGGCUGUUGAUUGUGGCUCAGAAACUGUUUUCUUCAUAGCGCUGCAAUUGGAUUUAUUUAUUAGAAUUUGAGCUGAAUGUUGUCGUACAUUUUGGUUACAUUGGUUUCUCAGGAUAUUUUAUAGGUACAUGUUGUCUCUUUCUAAGUGCACUGUCACUUGAGGUGGGCCUGGGCCUUUUGUUCCUGUUUGUCCUUACUCUUCCACGGAGCUAGCAGUCUCCAGCACAGGGGUGAUCAGUUCUUAAUCACUGAAGACUAAUUAAUCUUUCAGUAUACAUGCUAUUUUAGUGAGUAAUUUUUGCCAGAAAUACUAGUGCUGAUGUAAAAUAAGGGUUAGGAUUAGGGAAGGAUUUGGCCUGAAUAAUUCAAUUUAUAUGUAUAAGUCA
rnacentral:lncRNA from 1 species